rnacentral:tRNA from 1 species
UCCCUUGUGGCUCAGCUGGUAAAGAAUCUGCCUGCAAUGCAGGAGACCUGGGUUCAAUCCCUGGAUUGGGAG